CCUACGGGUGGCUGCAGUGAGGAAUAUUGGUCAAUGGGCGCUAGCCUGAACCAGCCAAGUAGCGUGAAGGAUGACUGCCCUAUGGGUUGUAAACUUCUUUUAUAUGGGAAUAAAGUGCCGUAUGUAUACUGGUUUGCAUGUACCUUAUGAAUAAGGAUCGGCUAACUCCGUGCCAGCAGCCGCGGUAAUACGGAGGAUCCGAGCGUUAUCCGGAUUUAUUGGGUUUAAAGGGUGCGUAGGCGGGUUGUUAAGUCAGGUGUGAAAGUUUGUGGCUCAACCGUAAUAUUGCUGUUGAUACUGGCGUGCUGGAGUACAGGAGAGGUAGGCGGAAUUCGUGGUGUAGCGGUGAAAUGCUUAGAUAUCACGAAGAACUCCGAUUGCGAAGGCAGCCUGCUGGACUGAAACUGACGCUGAUGCACGAAAGUGUGGGUAUCAAACAGGAUUAGAUACCCGAGUAGUC
rnacentral:rRNA from 1 species